rnacentral:rRNA from 1 species
UACGAAGGUCCCAAGCGUUAUCCGGAUUUAUUGGGUUUAAAGGGUGCGUAGGCGGAUUAUUAAGUCAGUGGUGAAAGCUCCCAGCUUAACUGGGAAACUGCCAUUGAUACUGAUGAUCUUGAGUAUGAUUGAAGUGGGCGGAAUGUGUCAUGUAGCGGUGAAAUGCUUAGAUAUGACACAGAACACCGAUUGCGUAGGCAGCUCACUAAGCCAUAACUGACGCUGAUGCACGAAAGCGUGGGGAGCAAACAGG